rnacentral:rRNA from 1 species
GACGAACGCUGGCGGCGUGCUUGACACAUGCAAGUCGAACGAUGAAGCCCAGCUUGCUGGGUGGAUUAGUGGCGAACGGGUGAGUAACACGUGGGCAACCUGCCCCAAACUCUGGGAUAACUCCUCGAAAGAGGUGCUAAUACCGGAUACGAACUAGGUAGACAUCUGCACUAGUUGGAAAGUUUUUCGGUUUGGGAUGGGCCCGCGGCCUAUCAGCGUGUUGGUGAGGUAACGGCUCACCAAGGCUACGACGGGUAACCGGCCUGAGAGGGCGACCGGUCACACUGGGACUGAGACACGGCCCAGACUCCUACGGGAGGCAGCAGUGGGGAAUAUUGCGCAAUGGGCGAAAGCCUGACGCAGCGACGCCGCGUGAGGGAUGAAGGUCUUCGGAUCGUAAACCUCUUUCAGUAGGGACGAAGCGAAAGUGACGGUACCUAAAGAAGAAGCACCGGCUAACUACGUGCCAGCCGCCGCGGUAA